ACUUAAUUAGCUUAUUUAUUAGAGUAUUAUAUUGAAGAUGUAAAGGAAUUAUUUUAUUAAGUG
rnacentral:tRNA from 1 species